rnacentral:tRNA from 1 species
GCAACAUGUGGCAGUGAGUAACCAGGCAACUUCUAAUCCAGCGGUCGCAGGUUCGAAUCCUGCCGGGUGCG